GGGAAUAUUGCACAAUGGGCGAAAGCCUGAUGCAGCAACGCCGCGUGAAGGAAGAAGGGUUUCGGCUCGUAAACUUCUAUCAACAGGGACGAAAGAAAUGACGGUACCUGAAUAAGAAGCCCCGGCUAACUACGUGCCAGCAGCCGCGGUAAUACGUAGGGGGCAAGCGUUAUCCGGAAUUAAUGGGUGUAAAGGGUGAGUAGGCGGCAUGGUAAGCCAGAUGUGAAAGCCUUGGGCUUAACCCGAGGAUUGCAUUUGGAACUAUCAAGCUAGAGUACAGGAGAGGAAAGCGGAAUUCCUAGUGUAGCGGUGAAAUGCGUAGAUAUUAGGAAGAACACCAGUGGCGAAGGCGGCUUUCUGGACUGAAACUGACGCUGAGGCACGAAAGCGUGGGGAGCGAACAGG
rnacentral:rRNA from 1 species